CCCCCUCUCGGUUUUUGCUGCUAGAUAAAACCCCGUUCUCACGAUUGGAAGUUCUCUCCCUCUCACAAUUGCACGUCGGCGUAGAUAUUUGUUGACCGUCGGGUUUUCGCCAUUUACCGUUGCUGUGCUACACCAUCGCCUCUUCAUUCUGGCUUGAUAUCAGAGCACAUUGAAGAUGCCACUGUCUACUUAGAUGCAGGAUGUACAGAGAGUUUCGAGUUUCUUGGGGCAUACCCUCUGCUACUAGAAGUUGGAGCACAUGCUGUUUGCAGCUUGGAAAACAUGUCUUCUCUUGAUAUGGUUCCAUGUGUUACAUGUUUGGGUCUAUACAAAUGGAGAAUGUUUACGUCCCCGAAAAUGAGGCAGGUAUGUGGCAGUGGCUAUUUGGCAAGAGUAUGACUAGCAUAGUUCUUCUCAAUAUCAGUUCAAGUGAUGGAUUUGCUGGAAUUACUGCUCCGUUAGCCAGAAUUCUCCCAGUUCGGAUCAUGCCAGAUUUUGGGUUAUUAGUUUCUUUUUUUGGUUCUAACUCUUGGUAUUUGAUCAUGACUGUGAAUUCAUCUCAUAUGUCACCAACUUGGUUUCUUUUUAUGUUAUUUGAUUUGAAUUAUCUUAUUUUUACUUAUCAAAAUAAUUGAACUUUAUUUUGUAGAUUGAUUUAGCAAUGUUUGGUGGUGAACUAUUGUGCCAGGUACAGCUAAUUUAUUGUUUAUUAUUCUCUUGUUAUGCUAAGAAAUUAUUUGAAAUUCUUUUUCCCCUAUUUUACUAUUGUCGAUUGGGAUAUUUUUCUUUUUGGUCAAUGCCUUAACUCAAUUAUGUUGAGAUUUCUUCAUGCAUUUCCCUUAAAUCUCAGUCCUCUAAAUUUACGAGUUUAUAUUUUCAUUUAUGACAAUAUUAAUAAUAAAAAAAAAUCUUUUUCUUUCUUGA